AAAAAAAAUUAUCAAA
rnacentral:sRNA from 1 species